rnacentral:tmRNA from 1 species
GGGGAUGAUCGGUUUCGACAUCGCCUGCGAACCUGCGAGAAGCGGGCCGAGGAUGCAGGGUUAUCUCGUAAACGAUCUCUGCAAAACAAUAAGUGCCGAAACCAAGC